UAAGACGAACCGUGCGAACGUUAUUCGGAAUCACUGGGCUUAAAGCGCGUGUAGGCGGUCCGGCACGUCUGUCGCUGAAAGCCCCCGGCUCAACCGGGGAACGGGCGCGGAUACGACCGGACUGGAGGGGGGUAGGGGGAGCCGGAACUUCCGGUGGAGCGGUGAAAUGCGUUGAGAUCGGAAGGAACGCCCGUGGCGAAAGCGGGCUCCUGGACCCCACCUGACGCUGAGACGCGAAAGCCAGGGGAGCAAACGGG
rnacentral:rRNA from 1 species